rnacentral:sRNA from 1 species
CACCACGUAUCCUCUACGGGCUUUGUGGUGGCGCAGUUUAAUCACACAAGAAGGAGUGUAAAUAGUGGCCCGUAUAGCUGGCAUUAACGUUCCUGAU